rnacentral:rRNA from 1 species
CAUGGCUGUCGUCAGCUCGUGUUGUGAAUGUUGGUUAGUCCGCAACGAGCGCAACCCUUAUCCUUUGUUGCCAGCGAGUAAUGUCGGGAACUCAAAGGAGACUGCCGGUGAUAAACCGGAGGAAGGUGGGGAUGACGUCAAGUCAUCAUGGCCCUUACGAGUAGGGCUACACACGUGCUACAAUGGCAUAUACAAAGAGAAGCGAACUCGCGAGAGCAAGCGGACCUCAUAAAGUAUGUCGUAGUCCGGAUUGGAGUCUGCAACUCGACUCCAUGAAGUCGGAAUCGCUAGUAAUCGUAGAUCAGAAUGCUACGGUGAAUACGUUCCCGGGCCUU